AGUAUCGCGAGAUCAGGAAGGUGGCCGAGUGUGUCGCCGCGGCCAUCAGGCACUUCUCCUUCCUGCCCUUGUAUGAAGAAGGAUGUGUUUGCUUCCCCUUGUGCCAUGAUUGUAAAUUUCCUGAGGCCUCCUCAGCCCUGCAGAACUGGCUAGAGCAAUGUAUCUUAGGCUCACUUAAGGAAGCUGUAGAGAUGAGCCCAAGGAGGGAAACCAGAAGAGCCCCCCAGGCUCACCAGUUGUUUGUUGGCUCCCUACAAACAUGUCAUUCAAGUGGCUAAUCUUACAACAGCACAAAUUCAUCUAACCAGAAAGAGAAGAGGAGGCUCCAAAGGCACUUGACUACUGAGCAUCACCCUGGACGUGUACAAGUCUGCGUCCUUAUUGUUUUCUUCAUUGGGCCGAACUUUCUGGUCCUCAUCCAACAGCUCUUCUAUCACGUGUUCGAAAGUGUCAGCCAAUGAUGUCAAGCCUCUUGAACCUGCCUUGGGCCCAUUCACGCUCUCCAGAGUCCCAUGGGUCCGCACACCUGGAGAUACUCUAUUAUAGCAAAGAAGAAAGAUAAUUUCAUUGAGCCAUCCUGUUUUACAGGAAAUUCUGCAAGUGGCAACGUGGGUCCAUUCCGUGUGUGUCACUAGAGCUGGCGCAAGCCCAUGGCCAUGGUGAGGCAGCGUUUCCACUGGAACUAAUCUGAUACCUGCACCAGCUCUUGCAACUGUGCAGUGUUCCCACUGCAAACUACGGAUGGGGAUUUUCCCUCCUGGUGAGUCAAAAUGAACAAGAAAUACCCCAGGACCUCCCUUCCCUCCUUGGCCAUUAAUGAGAUGAAGGCAAUUAACUCACAUAGUAUAAAUGAAUCAUUUGAGGUGAUGACUGCAUUUUAGGCAAAUGAUGACUUUCUUGGUUCCAUUGGUUUGCAAGUAAAAGUUACACACAUUGAAAAGACACUGAAACAGAUUUCCUAAAUGCUUCAUUUUCUGGAUGCACCAAUGUUGACCUACUAUACAUGUUAAAUGGUUUUAAAAUAUCACCUUAAAAUAAAGGAAACUUCCAGCUACUAACUCAGCUCUGAAUGGGCUAUGAAAGGCUCCAAAGGUAUGUGAAAAAUUACUGUUAUUUUGCUUUAAAAAAUGUGAUGUCUAAGAGUGUCUGCAAUGUUCUAAUGCUUCAAAACAUGUACGUAAGCCUUGUUUAUCUGGAAAUCAUUUCUUUCUGCUUAUAUCAUUUAUAAAUAGAAAAUGUUCUGUAAUAACUUAAAAUAGUUCCACAUACAUAAUGCUUUUAGUGUCAUAAUACUUACUACUGGUCUAUAUUUACCAACAUUUAUCACAUUUUACAAAAUGAAGUAGAAGAAAAAAAAGACAACGACUUUAUGGCCCUGGAAUUCCAGUAAUGGUGACCAACAUGUUUUAAAUUCCAGUAAAGGUUAUGGUUACAUUUCAACAA
rnacentral:lncRNA from 10 species